UAGGGAAUCUUCCACAAUGGACGCAAGUCUGAUGGAGCAACGCCGCGUGAGUGAAGAAGGCUUUCGGGUCGUAAAACUCUGUUGUUGGAGAAGAAUGGUCGGCAGAGUAACUGUUGUCGGCGUGACGGUAUCCAACCAGAAAGCCACGGCUAACUACGUGCCAGCAGCCGCGGUAAUACGUAGGUGGCAAGCGUUAUCCGGAUUUAUUGGGCGUAAAGCGAGCGCAGGCGGUUUUUUAAGUCUGAUGUGAAAGCCCUCGGCUUAACCGAGGAAGCGCAUCGGAAACUGGGAAACUUGAGUGCAGAAGAGGACAGUGGAACUCCAUGUGUAGCGGUGAAAUGCGUAGAUAUAUGGAAGAACACCAGUGGCGAAGGCGGCUGUCUGGUCUGUAACUGACGCUGAGGCUCGAAAGCAUGGGUAGCGAACAGGAUUAGAUACCCUGGUAGUCCAUGCCGUAAACGAUGAAUGCUAGGUGUUGGAGGGUUUCCGCCCUUCAGUGCCGCAGCUAACGCAUUAAGCAUUCCGCCUGGGGAGUACGACCGCAAGGUUG
rnacentral:rRNA from 2 species